ACAAGCAGCGGAGCGUGUGGUUUAAUUCGAUGAUACACGAGAACCUUACCCAGGCUUGACAUGUUGGUAGUAGGGAUCCGAAAGGUGACCGACCUUCGGGGAGCCUUCACAGGUGCUGCAUGGCUGUCGUCAGCUCGUGUCGUGAGAUGUCCGGUUAAGUCCGGUAACGAGCGCAACCCUCGCUGUGUGUUAUAUGUGUCACACGGGACUGCCGGUAUCAAGCCGGAGGAAGGUGGGAUGACGUCAAGUCAGCAUGGCCUUUAUGUCUGGGGCUACACACACGCUACAAUGGCCAGUACAAUAGGUUGCAAGACCGCGAGGUGGAGCCAAUCCUUAAAGCUGGUCUCAGUUCGGAUUGCAGGCUGCAACUCGCCUGCAUGAAGUCGGAGUUGCUAGUAACCGCGCGUCAGCUAUAGUGCGGUCGAAUACGUUCCCGGGCCUU
rnacentral:rRNA from 1 species